UUUUUUUCAAGAUCAUGCCCUUCACCAACCUCAGCAAGGUGAAGCAGUUUACCUGUUUCUUCAUCUGGGCAGAAAUGACCUGCCUCUGCCAUUUCUCAGAGUGGUUGAAAAGACUGGUUAUAAUACUCGAUAAACAAGUGCUUGAUUUACCCUACAUUACAGUUGAGAAUGGUUGGUAAGUGUCCUUAAAUAGCCUCCGAUUCCCUAUUAAGAGAUCUCAUGGCGGCAGUGCCACGGUCCCUCCCAACCCCCCAGGGCAGGUGCCUCUCUCAAGAUACCUGAGACUAUGGGGCACAUCCUCAGGGCUCCCAGGCAGCUGCCCUUUAUGGUUGCAACACACCUUGAAAAUGACAUAUUGGCACAACAGAAUUUCAAAGCAGUAAAACCUUUGCCUUCUUCUCACCUAGCUAGGGCCUCUGUGCCUGUGAUAACAAGACAGCUACCUUACACUUGUGUCAUGCCAUCUAGCUUACAAAGUGCUCUCUCAUCCCUGCAGCAGAGGAAACCAAAGCUCCAAGAAGUGACUUGGCUAAUGUCAUGGGUUGAACUGUAGCAUGACCGGGACCUGACCUCUGGUCCACUGACACCUGACCCAGUGUCUUCAUCCUGCAGUUUUACUUUACAGGUUGCUAAGGAUUAAUGAUGGGAUGUUUUGAUUCUUAGUCUCUAAGGGGAUCCUCUCCCCGGAGGCUCCAGGUCUCCCGAUGCCUUGCAUUCAUGUUUGUUUGGUGUUGCAGCUAUGUUUCAUUGUAGUAACAUAUUCCAAAUGCUAUGAGGUCACCCUGAGUCUCACUGAAGAAAAAUGUUUCAAAAGUAUGCAGAGAGGCCGAAGUAUUAGGAAAGCUCUUGAAUGUACUUAAAUUCUCAGUUUCUUCCAGGAGCCCUCCGUAACAGCCUGGGUAGUAAUUCGAGUAUUUGGAUCACUUUCUUGAACACAAUCAACAUAAAACUGUGGCAAUACAGAAUUCAAAAGGUGGGUCAGGACGUUUGUGUACCAAGUAGCCCUGUACACACUGGAUAAUUACUUUCUUUCGUCUGUCCACAGCUGAGUUCUCUAGCACAUACCCUGUCUUGGGUAAGAACGUGCCCUGAAAAGUCAUGUGCCAGGUUGAUGUCCUCUGAGUCCUAUUUUAAAUUCACAAGUGGUAUGCGCUCAGAAAAAGGAAGUCCUCUGAUAAAGCAGAGAACUGUGUUGUGAAACAAGUUGUUCUCUCCCUAGUCAUUCAUUUCUUUUGUAAAUCAGGAUUUUAGGUACUUUUGUCUUUAAAGCUAGUUGUAUCUACGUAGAAAAUUUCUGCACACUCCUCUUUUUUGUUCAUUUUGGAUGUAAACACACUUUAGAGUCAUAGACACAGAGUGAAGGUGGCAGGAUGAGCAAAACUGGCAUUUUGUCUCAUUACCCCAUUUUUCUUUCUUUCUUUUCUUUUUUUUUUUUUUUUCUUUUUUCUUUUUUAUCCUAAGCAGGAGAGAGGUGAUCUGCAAGUUUCUCAGGAUUCUUUUGGGGAAGAGUUUCCCCAGAAAAAUGUCUUCACCCACAUUCCCAGUGUCAGUGUGCCAGGGACCCUGUCACCUUUGGUUGAUGUGCUGAUUGACUGAACUCUGGGUAGAGCCACGCCUUUGAAGAGGCCUGUUGGCCAGAUUAACACACCAGGGAAAGUGCUUCAGUCUAGAAUAUGCCCCAUCGCUGGCGUCUGGUGCCCUGGCCUCUGUGCUGUGCCCACCUACUCCAGUGCUUAGAAAUGCCAAGUCACUCACGCUCGUAAUCCCAGCACUUUGGGAGGCCGAGGUGGGCAGAUCACAAGGUCAGGAGUUCAAGAC